rnacentral:rRNA from 1 species
GUGUCAGCAGCCGCGGUAAUACGGAAGGGGCUAGCGUUGUUCGGAAUUACUGGGCGUAAAGCGCGUGUAGGCGGCUUGGUAAGUCCGCUCUGAAAGCCCGGGGCUCAACCCCGGGAGGCGGGUGGAUACUGUCAAGCUCGAGUCCGGAAGAGGCGAGUGGAAUUCCGGGUGUAGCGGUGAAAUGCGUAGAGAUCCGGAGGAACACCAGUGGCGAAGGCGGCUUUCUGGGUCCGCCCUGACGCUGAGGCACGAAAGCGUGGGGAUCAAACAGGAUUAGAUACCCAGGUAGUCC